rnacentral:lncRNA from 1 species
AUCAAAAGCUCGUUCGGGUUGGAAGCUUGUCGGAGCUAUAUCACACUAUCCAUCGGCUCACUCGGUACUUUUGGUUAGUUUAAGUUUGGUUAUAACGACAUGUAUAGGUUAUUUUGGCUAAUGUUGGCCUAUAUGUUUUGUUGUGAUUAUGGUCACUUAUUUGGCUUGUGUUUGGUAUAUUUUGGACGUGUAUAAGUUGUCUUAAUAUGGUUGAUAUGUGGUAUGAAUUGGGGUUGAAUUAUGAAAAAUGAAAUAGUUGUUGAAUGUGCACAUUAUGUAUGUCAUAUAGUUUGAUGUGAAUUGGUGCUUUGUCGUGGAAGACAUAUGUAUAUUGAUGCUAGUUUAGAAUGGUAUAAUUUGUACCAA